rnacentral:rRNA from 1 species
UGCCAGCCGCCGCGGUAACACGGGGGGCGCAAGCGUUAUUCGGAAUUAUUGGGCGUAAAGGGCGCGCAGGCGGUCUUGUCCGUCAGGUGUGAAAGCUCGGGGCUCAACCCCGGAAGUGCACUUGAAACAGCAAGACUUGAAUACGGUAGAGGAGAGAGGAAUUCCUGGUGUAGAGGUGAAAUGUGUUGAUAUUGGCAGGAACACCGGAGGCGAAAGCGGCACACUGGGGAAUAACUGACGCUGAGGCACGAAAGCCAGGGUAGCGAACGGGAUUAGAUA